UAUCAACAUACAGCAUUCAUCCAUGAUUCCAUCCUGGUUCCUCUGCACAGAGAACUUCUGCUUCAAUGAGAGGGAACCCACAGGAGCUGCAUGCUCUUGAUGCUGACUAGCAGUACUGGCUGCAUGUGGAAUAGGGCCACCUUCGUUCUGACUCUGGCAACUGGGAGCUCAUAAGCCUUCAACAUCAUGGGAGGGGAUCUCCUUCAUGGGAGAGGAUCUUAGCUCAGACAAGAAUAAGAAGAGAGAUGGACUGUGAUUAAAUGCCAGGGAACAGACCUCCGUCAGAUGAGCUGGAUUCUUUCAGGAUAUCGUUUCUUGGGUUUAAUAGUAACGUGCCCUACAGCAGUGACUACACUCCUCAUCGUCUGAGCUUGGACUGGUUUUCUCUAGAAUAACAUUCCUGGAAGAUCCUUCCAUGAGAACUGAAUUUUGAAGGCAGUUAUAAAGCUUUGGUCAAUUCCUGUUUCUUAAUACUGACAAAUGCAAAAGCAGACUCAGAAGAUCAUCGUCACAUUCCUUUCCACAGCAAUAAAAGGUAAUACAAGGCAACGAGAACAGGAAUUGGGUUCCCAACAUGAAAUUUACACCAUUAAUAACUGCAGAAGUUGCUUGGGAACUAUUACUAUUAAAUUCCUAAUUAGGCACAUUUAAAGACAUUUCUGGCUGCAAUGUCUGCUUCUUCUUUUCUCUUUGAAACUUAAUGCUGUACAGUAAAGUGCUUUUUCAAUUCUAUGAAUGCUCAGUGCUCCCCUCCUGUAACACAGAUCAAGGUAGCAUAUUGUUAAUGUCUCAGUUGCUUAUUGUGGACAGUGUGUGGCUCACCCUUAGCAGAGUAAUGACACCGCUACUAGAUCUGUCUUUCCAGAAUGGAAGGGAAAUGUCAGAUCUUACUCUGCAAAACUUUCCACUUCUUUUUAGAUUAAUGCCUGGAAAUUCGCAGUUGUUGGCUUCACCUCCUUAGGCUUUAUCAUGGUAUUCUUAUUUGUCCAAUUGCUUUUGUCAGUUUUUAUCAAGUGAAGUACGCGUGGAGUUUGGAUCUUCUUAAACUGCACUUGGCAGCCUGCAGAGCUUUGUGAUACGG
ensembl:lncRNA